rnacentral:rRNA from 1 species
GGCCCUUCGGGGUACUCGAGUGGCGAACGGGUGAGUAACACGUGGGUGAUCUGCCCUGCACUUUGGGAUAAGCCUGGGAAACUGGGUCUAAUACCGAAUAUGACCACGCGCUUCAUGGUGUGUGGUGGAAAGCUUUUGCGGUGUGGGAUGGGCCCGCGGCCUAUCAGCUUGUUGGUGGGGUAAUGGCCUACCAAGGCGACGACGGGUAGCCGGCCUGAGAGGGUGACCGGCCACACUGGGACUGAGAUACGGCCCAGACUCCUACGGGAGGCAGCAGUGGGGAAUAUUGCACAAUGGGCGCAAGCCUGAUGCAGCGACGCCGCGUGAGGGAUGACGGCCUUCGGGUUGUAAACCUCUUUCAAUAGGGACGAAGCGCGUUGACGGUACCUAUAGAAGAAGGACCGGCCAACUACGUGCCAGCAGCCGCGGUAAUACGUAGGGUCCGAGCGUUGUCCGGAAUUACUGGGCGUAAAGAGCUCGUAGGUGGUUUGUCGCGUUGUUCGUGAAAACUCACGGCUUAACUGUG